rnacentral:rRNA from 1 species
AGUGAACGCUGGCGGUAGGCCUAACACAUGCAAGUCGAACGGCAGCACAGUAAGAGCUUGCUCUUACGGGUGGCGAGUGGCGGACGGGUGAGGAAUACAUCGGAAUCUACUUUUUCGUGGGGGAUAACGUAGGGAAACUUACGCUAAUACCGCAUACGACCUACGGGUGAAAGCAGGGGAUCUUCGGACCUUGCGCGAUUGAAUGAGCCGAUGUCGGAUUAGCUAGUUGGCGGGGUAAAGGCCCACCAAGGCGACGAUCCGUAGCUGGUCUGAGAGGACGAUCAGCCACACUGGAACUGAGACACGGUCCAGACUCCUACGGGAGGCAGCAGUAGGGAAUCUUCCGCAAUGGGCGAAAGCCUGACGGAGCAACGCCGCGUGAGUGAUGAAGGUCUUCGGAUCGUAAAACUCUGUUAUUAGGGAAGAACAAAUGUGUAAGUAACUAUGCACGUCUUGACGGUACCUAAUCAGAAAGCCACGGCUAACUACGUG